ensembl:lncRNA
CCCAGAACCAGAUGCUUGAAAGGAAAAUGCAAGACAUCCUGGCGUGGAUAAUUAUGAAAUAGUCUGACCACGGGAGAAAUUUCUGCGUAAACGACUUUAGUCCUAAAAUGCUAAAUAUUUAUAUUUCUUCCAAAAAGGCUUCGGUGCAAUUUCCCAUGGACACAGGACUUAUGCAACCAGUGUGCUGCCUGGCCAUGCAGAUCUCCGACUCCCUCCCUCUCUGUCCACCCUCCUGCCUCCAGCAAUCCCUGAACACAUCUGAUCUCUGCCACCAGGAGCACAGGUCUCGCAAACAGCCUACGGCUUUCAUGACUGCAAGCUGCUCCUCGGUGAGGCGAGGCAGCUCGUUGUGCCAGCCCAGGGUGAGCUUACACCUCAUUAGAAACCAGAGAAACCACAUGGGAGGUGAUCUCACAAAUGCUCCAGCUGUGGGAAAAGAUUCAACUGUGGCUUCUCCAUCAACAUGAGAUGCAAAUCCCAGGGACCUGAGCUUCACUUUCAUUCAGGCUCCUGGAGAGGCUGCCUUUAUUUGCAUUGAAGAAGAGGCAAUGGAAGGACUCAGAAGACUGUUGCCCUGGAAGAAGAGGAGCAGGAAGACCCUGCAUGUCCAGUGGACCAGAGACCCUACAAGUCUAAGGCACAGAGACCUGAUAAGUCCAAAGAGACUGGCAGCCAUUCUUACUAAUUUCUUGCUGAAAUGUGGCUCUGGAGAGUUUUGUGAAACUGGAGAGCAUUAUGUGUUUUUGACUGGACCUCAUACUCUAACAUCUUGCUUCCCUGAGCUGCCAUAUCAGCAUGUUAUUUUCUAUACCUUUUCCUUGCACUUCAGACAUUUAUUUUGUGUUCCAAUCUCCUCCUCCAUGUCUACAACACAUCCUUAACCCUCAUUUCCACACUCCCACAUAAUCUACUGGAAGGGUGAUUUUUUUGGCAUUUGUGAGCGGUGUUAACAAGGAUCAGAUGGUGCCAUUGUUUAUGAAAGAACCAGGUUUCCUUUACCAGCUGUGGCAUGCACCAGUAAAAAAAAAAACAUCCAGCAGUGUGGACUUUACAGUGGAGUUCUUGUAUUUAGCAGGUGAAAAGUCAAUACUCUACCUGUAAUGAGAUUCGGUCAUGGAAAACCCCUUGAAGUUGUUUUUAGCAACGAGGCAUUAGUCACCCUUGGACAGCUGCUGGCCACUCGGCGCUUCUGGCUCGCACCGCGCCACGUGCAAGGGCUGUUUUGAAGGCUGCUCAGUGUUAAUGGUGACUCUUGCUACGCCUCAGGUGUUGAGUUUAAGCACAUGGUUUCUGGUUAUUUUAGGAAAACAUGAGCUCAUGUUCCAAGCAGCCUUUCCUCCAGUGAGAAGUUCAUUGCAGCCCAUCCCUGUGCAUGGGGCUGGGGAUGGUUAUACCCCGUGUCUUUGGGGGACUAGUGUGCCUUGGGUUUUCUUCCAAGUCUGGGGAUAUGGGAUGGUGUGAUGAUGAAGUGGUGAGAUGAUGCAGUGCUGUGAUGGGGCUGUGCUGGGGAGUGCCUCCAAAAGCAUCACCAGAAGCCUGAUGGCCACCCAAAGCAUUUUGCUGCACCCAGUGCCCUUGUGGGUGGUAGCCUGCCCAUGCUGAGGAACUGAGGGUGUGUUUGGAGGAUAUGAAGAGGUUGGUCAGGGAACUCAUGGAAAUGCAAGUGCAAGGGCUGAGAAAAAGGUGCUUUCUGUGUCAUAGACAUAGGUUAGGAAAAGAGGAGACAGCAGAGAGGUGAGAUCAUGGAGCAAGGAGGAGUGGAAUCUAUUAGAGCAUCAAAUGGCUGGAUUAAGUCAUACCACGUGAAGGCUAAGGCAGCUCCUAAAGAAAGGGAAAAUACAGGUGAUGAAGGAAGAAGUCAGUUUAACAGACCUGAAAUCUGGCCUGCCUGCAGAAAUGCGGGCUUGGAGCAAUGACCUUCUUUGGGAAGAAAAGGAGAAGCUGCUGACCAGUGGAUGCUUACCCAUUUCCUCCAGCCCAUGGCUUCCCCCAGUCUCCAGCAUUGGCUGAGUAGGAAGGGACCUUUGCUCAAGGAGAGUGCUGGAUUUUCUGGCUGGUGGACAAGGGCAAGGAAGACCUGGUGAGGACAGUUCUUGCACUAGAUAUGGAGAGUGGGGAUCCAUGUUGAUGAGUGUCAGGAACUAGUGAGGGGGAACCACAAAAAAUGGUCAGCAAGGGUCCUGUCUCUGGGACCAGCCAACCCUUUACUUCCUCUGCAGCUCAGGCAGAGUUUGCAGAGAAGAGAGUCUGAUAAUACAUUGUCCCCACUUUAUAAGCAAAUAUCUUGAAAUAAUACAUACAACUUUUGCUGAUAUCUUUAUCAUAGAGCAAUCUAAGGGUGUGCGUAGCUUGGAUCUGACAAGCAGAUCUCAGAAAACUUCUUCUGAUAGAGAGUGCAUUUAAAUGGAGAUGACAGGGAGAAUUUCAAUUUCAAUUUCUUCUAUAGAUAUGACCAAAAAAAAAAGAGCAAAUGUGAAAGUGUUAGAAAAGAAACAGAAUUUCAUUUAGACAUCUUGUGUUGAAACAUUGUGAUGUCUUUCUUUGAGAACUUUCAGGGCCACUGUACCCCUCAUUCAAGACACUUAGAAAAACCAAGACAUGAGAACAGCAGAAACCAGGCAGAACAGUCUUGUUGAGGCUUCCUGAGAGAGGAAAAGUGGUUGUUUCAGCUGUUGAAUUAUUCCUUCAGUUCUACUGCUCAAGUUCUCCUGAGUUGCUCCAGUGGCACCAUGGAGUCUUAAAUCUAGCCAAAGGAUUCUCGUGGUGCAGGAAAACCCCUAUGUAGCCUCAAGCCAGGGAAGUUGUUUAAGUGAGGCUACAGUUGUGUUUAGACCAGGAAUGGUUCUCUGUAUAGGGCUGGAAGCAUGUGGAAAGGCACAAUGCAGCUGAGAAGUUCCCUCCUCUGUUUCCAUUUUGUGGCUUCUGCAAUAAUCUGUCAAAGGAACCUUAUAAACCCCUAAGUGGUGGGGUUUUUAAAGCAUGGCUGUUAUGGUAAUGGUUUAAUGCUGCCUCCUUUGUUAUGUGUUAAUGGUGCCUUCCUCUUAAGUCUACUAAUAAAAGAAACUUAAACAUCAAUGUGAAAGUCCUUGUAAAGUUACAAAUCAAACACAUUUGUGCUGUUUUCCCUGACAGGCAAGACACUGGCAUGCCUCUGCGUGGGGUUUAGCAUCAGACCUUAACCAGGGAGCUGCAUGCCCACUGCUGUGCAUUUGGGGUCACCUGUUCCACAUAUGGGGCAGAGCCGUAAAGGAGUGUUUUACACAGUGAAAAGUCUCUUAAACUUAGGUGAGAAGGGGAGGAAAGGGAAAGGAUGGGGAAAGUUUAGACAGAUGAGGAAUAAUAGAGAUGAAUCCGGAUAGAAUGAUUCAUCAUCUCUAUCACACUUUGAUGAUCUCCUUAAUAUAACUUUUGAAUCAGACUGUGGAAUAUAUUCACAGAGAAGUUUUUCCUCGUAAGUGAAUUCUCCAGACUUAUUCACGGGUGUAUGGAAAACCUCUCUGUUACACUCUAAUUCUAUAGCUCUCCAUAAAUAAAUUAGUAAAAGAGGGGUGUGAAUAGUUUUCCAAAAUUGGCCAGGGUUUCACCAUACAUACUGCACAGGGCAGCCCUGUACUCAAAGCACCAGACUGCUGCUAUCUUCAUAAGGAGGUGCUGAGUGCAUGAAGAUAACUACAGAGUCUGAGCACUUCUGGAGAAAUCAGUGCUUUGGAUGACAUCUUCAGAAGGCUCCCAGCCUUAUUUCCUAUGGUAUUUAUGAGCAGUUAUUUAUUAGGGAAGUAAAUGUAAGAAAAAUAUAAAGGAGUGGGAAGUGUGGACUGAUUUCUGGAAAGAAGUGAAGUGGAAAGGACAGGAAGGCUGGAUUUAGACAGACCUAGAGAAAAAUACAAAAAUUAAGACAGUCACGCCUUUCCUAUUGCCAAAACACUGUACUUUUAUAUACAGAGAGAAUGAGGGUCCCUCUAACCUCACUGAGUCAUGAAGAGGUGAUGGUUUGGCUCACCUAAUCUUGUCCUUAUGUGCAAAAGUGAGGACCAUCCCUUGUGAACACUGUGGAGGUCAACUCCUGCUUAGCCAUCGAGUCUGCACAGAAACAAUUAAGUCCAAAGGUAACUUUUAAAAGACAAGCUCCCACAGUCAGAGAUCACACACUGGAGAUCCUCUGAGCUUCAGAGGUCUGCCACAUUUCCAUGAGCUGCCCACUUAGGAGCAGAUAAACUGAGGAUGGUUUCACUAUUCUUAUUCAUAAGUGGGAGCCCUGUUUUGACCCCUCUGCACUUACAGCAUCUCUCAGCUGACCAUCAAACCCUGCAGAAAGCUACCAGUUGGUAUCUUUAUGCUGUUUUUCUGGGUGGUGGGGACUGACUCUGGUAUCCAACCCUUCUUUGAGCAUCAUGUGGAUGUGGCACCCCUGGCAACCUGCUGUUUUAAGCAUUUUUGGAGUGAUGACAUACAUAUUGUUCAGUCUGGAGAAGAGGAGGCUCAGGAGAGAGACCUUAUUGCUCUCUAUAACUACUUGAAGGGAGGUUGUAGUGAGCUGGGGGUCAGCCUCUUCUCUCGUGUGACUAGUGAUAGGACUAGAGGGAAUGGCUUCAAGCUGCACCAGGGAAGGUUCAGGCUGGAUGUUAGGAAAUACUACUUCUCUGAAAGGGUGGUCAGGCACUGGAAUGGGCUGCCCAGAGAGGUGGUGGAGUCACUGACCCUGGAGGUGUUCAAGGAGUGUUUGGACGUUGUGUUGAGGGACAUGGUUUAGUGAGAACCAUUGGUGAUGGGUGGAUGGUUGGACUGGGUGAUCCUGUGGGUCUUUUCCAACCUUGGUGAUUCUAUGAUUCUCUAUUCUUGAGGAUUAGGCAGACAAAGGCAGUUGGCCACUGUCUUGAGGGCAAAAUCCAACCCACCAGUCCUCAUGUGAGCCAUGCUGGUGAAGCCUAUGUGUAGCCCUGGGCCUACUUCUUUCAUCAAGGCCUGUGUAGCAGAUCCCCCUUCCCACAUACGCUGUGGGUUUCUUAGGGUGGCAGAAGGAAGUAAAAAACUUUCCUGGCAGAUAGCGAAAGUUCAGAUUAAUAGAAAAUUCAUCUUAAUAGACCUCAGGUGGAUCUUUGUUUUGGUUGCCAUGGAUGCCAAGAUGGAGACUGACUCCUGCACAUGCCCAUCUGGUUUCCACCACAGGGCACGGCAUGGCUGAUGGGUUUCCACCAGGAGGGUUAGUUUCAGCUAAAGCAGCAUUUUCUCGUGGAAAAUAUUUUCGGUUAGAACACUUUUGGCUAACUUUUGGUGUGAAUGUGAAGUGCUCUGACGGCAAUUUUACAGUUACCUCAUCCAUUAAAGAGCACAGGGGUUGUGAAAGGGAUGGGAGGGGGAUAAAAGCACUGCCCUGGCCUCUCUACGGUGAUACUGAACGUGGGCUGCCCUGUCUACACCUCUGGCCACCCCAGAACCAUAUAGUCGUGAAAGCCUUGGGGCCUCUUGCAAGCAGCAUGGCUCUGGGUCUGAAUAGCCAGGCCUUGCUCCCUGUGGGCACGCCAGCUGUAUUAUGACUUUCAGCUCUAUUUUAAUCCGAUUGAUGGAGUGGCCGGAGAUGCUGAUGGGAUUAGAGCUCAGCAUGAUGACGAAGCAGUCGGGAUUUGCCCUUGCACUGAUCCCCGCAGCACACCAGUGGGGAAUAGCUGCUCCUGAUUUACGAGCUGUAGGAGCCCCGCUUUGACAUGGAGCACUUCCUCCAGGACAUGGGUCCAACCCAAACACAUCUCACAGCCUGCAGGCCGAGCAUGGUCUGACUUUCUUGUGAUUGCGCCCAGUGUGUUGUGUGUGGUCCCAGGCACCGCGUGGGACCCAGAGGCACUGCGGGGCCGGUGGGCAUUUGGCCAUGCUUCCUAUGAGACGACCACACUCUGAGCAUAUAGUUCCUCUACACUGAUCAAAAAAACACCAACAUAAUUGUUCUUGGGACUGGUCGGCUCAGAGGGGAUUACGAGUGCGAGUGUGAGUGAGUGUACAUCAGCUGAUAUCCAAUGGCAGCGGCAGAGCAAGUGGAUUUGCAACAUUAUGAAUUAUGCUUAAAUAGGCUUUUCUUUAUCUAUGUGAAAAGAGAAAGCUUCUCAUCACUUUGUUUACAGGAGCCUCUCUAAAUGCCCACUGUAAUGCUGCACCGUUCAUAGGGUAAUUUGCAAGCACGACUGCAAGAGUCAUCGGAACUCUUGUCUCUAGGAUGGAGAGCUCUCCCUCUUGAGAGAGGCUGGGAUUUUAAGCCCUGAAAGAGCAGCUUGACACCCUGUGACCUGCCUUGUAAUGUUCCUAAUCCACCUCUUUAUAAAUACAGGCUGCUGAGCGGAGGGGGAGUGCAGACGGGGGAUCUCACAGCCUCGGGUGCUGCUUGCAGGAAGCGGAUGAAGGUGCUCACAAGCUAAGUGGAUUAAGCCUGACUAACGUCAGUUCAAAAAUAGGAGCUGCAGCCUGACAGAAAGGUCUGGGGAAGUGAUGUUAUUUGUUGAUGAACCAUGCCAAGCACCAGGAGGAUGUGAGGGAGGGUCUGGACUCGCCAGCGUUUCCUAUGCGGGCUGCAGACACAGUCUGGGGGUGCCCAGGGGAUGCCCCUCUUCAGGAUACAGCUCUUCCAGGCUAUGCAGCUUCCAUGUACUCCUGAGAGAUGCAGCUGGCAGAGCAAAACCAAGGAGGCUCCUCCAGCAGCAGCUGGGUGCUUUCUGUCUGCUCCUCACCCUGCCCUCAUUUAAACCCCCCCCCCCAGACAUCUGCGUUGGUUGGGAAUUGGUCAGUGUUUGUGCCUGUCCAUAUGGGGCACCAAGCCCUCCUGCAGAGCAAGGCAGAGGAUGGAUUUAAAAAUAAGAUUUAGAAGUACUUUUUUUUUUUUUUUAAGGGUAUUAAUAUCUAAUAAUACUAAUAAAAUCCCUAUCAGAAUAAGAGAAAAAUAGGGUGUACAAUUCUGCGUUAAAUAAUAAGACUUAGGAAGCCUUUCUUAUGCCUCCACAGACUUUUUGUUUCCUCAUUACUUGAUGCACAGACUGAUGCUCUCCAGCACAGGGGUUGGUUUUACCCUGUGUUCUGUGAUGCUGUGCAGGAAUAGCAUCUUCAGGGCUUUGCUAAUCACAGCAGCACCCAAGCCAGUGACAGUUCCUACUCCUCCAUUAGAUCUGACACUUUCAGACUGCUCCUCUUCCCCUUUGCCUCUACUGUUUUCUUCUCAUGCAUCAUUGUUAAACCUUUCUUGAACAUGUAGUUGUCCUUGUAAUCUGAGCUGUAUGUUGGUUUCAUGUUUGUUGACAUGUUUGCUAAGCAGCUGAAUGGGCUUUCCAACAAAUAUUAAAGAAAUCAUCACUUUUUAAUGCAA